UACGUAGGGGGCAAGCGUUGUCCGGAUUUAUUGGGCGUAAAGAGCGUGUAGGCGGCUGGGUAGUCCGUUGUGAAACUCGAGGCUCAACCUCGAGACGCCGAUGGAAACCCUCCAGCUAGAGUCCGGAAGAGGAGAGUGAAUUCCUGGUGUAGGAGGUGAAAUUCGUAGAUAUCAGGAGGAACACCAGUGGCGAAGGCGGCUUUCUGGACGGUAACCUGACCGCUGAGACGCGAAAGCGUGGGGAGCAAACAGG
rnacentral:rRNA from 1 species